rfam:Hypholoma sublateritium FD-334 SS-4 unplaced genomic scaffold scaffold_41, whole genome shotgun sequence.
GCCGUCGUAGCACAAAGGUAGUGCGUUGCUUUCCUAUCGAUGAGAGGUUGGAAUUCAGGCAGAGGCUGCGGGUUCGAGUCCCGUCGUCGGUU